AACUCCUCCUCCACGUUAAAUCCGUCCUGCACUAAUGGUGUACGUCUUGCCAAUAGGCUUUAACAACUUUAUAGAAACGACAAGGGCUUCAAAUGCUACCCGACCCCAUGGACACUACAAGAAAACAGUGUUCAUGU
rnacentral:sRNA from 1 species